UCCAGACUCCUACGGGAGGCAGCAGUGAGGAAUAUUGGUCAAUGGCCGAGAGGCUGAACCAGCCAAGUCGUGUGAGGGAAGACGGCCCUACGGGUUGUAAACCUCUUUUGUCGGGGAGCAAAGCGAACCACGUGUGGUUCAUUGAGAGUACCCGAAGAAAAAGCAUCGGCUAACUCCGUGCCAGCAGCCGCGGUAAUACGGAGGAUGCGAGCGUUAUCCGGAUUUAUUGGGUUUAAAGGGUGCGUAGGCGGUCAGUCAAGUCAGCGGUAAAAAUGCGGUGCUCAACGCCGUACAGCCGUUGAAACUGGCAGUCUUGAGUGGGCGAGAAGUAUGCGGAAUGCGUGGUGUAGCGGUGAAAUGCAUAGAUAUCACGCAGAACUCCGAUUGCGAAGGCAGCGUACCGGCGCCCAACUGACGCUGAAGCACGAAGGCGUGGGUAUCGAACAGGAUUAGAUACCCUCGUA
rnacentral:rRNA from 1 species